rnacentral:tRNA from 1 species
GCCUGGCUAGCUCAGUCGGUAGAGCACGAAACUCUUAAUCUCAUUGUCGUGGGUUCGGGCCCUACGUUGAGUG